rnacentral:rRNA from 1 species
AGUGAACGCUGGCGGUAGGCCUAACACAUGCAAGUCGAACGGCAGCACAGUAAGAGCUUGCUCUUACGGGUGGCGAGUGGCGGACGGGUGAGGAAUACAUCGGAAUCUACUUUUUCGUGGGGGAUAACGUAGGGAAACUUACGCUAAUACAGCAUACGACCUACGUGUGAAAGCAGGGGAUCUUCGGACCUUGCGCGAUUGAAUGAGCCGAUGUCGGAUUAGCUAGUUGGCGGGGUAAAGGCCCACCAAGGCGACGAUCCGUAGCUGGUCUGAGAGGAUGAUCAGCCACACGGGAACUGAGACACGGUCCAGACACCGACGGGAGGCAGCAGUGGGGAAUAUUGGACGAUGGGCGCAAGCCUGAUCCAGCCAUACCGCGUGGGUGAAGAAGGCCUUCGGGUUGUAAAGCCCUUUUGUUGGGAAAGAAAAGCAGCAGGUUAAUACCCCGCUGUUCUGACAGUACCCAAAGAAUAAGCACCGGCUAACUUCGUG